rnacentral:rRNA from 1 species
CAAGUCGAACGAGAAAGGGGAGCAAUCCCUGAGUACAGUGGCGUACGGGUGAGUAACACGUGGAUAAUCUAUCUCUUAGUGGGGAAUAGCCCCGGGAAACCGGGGAUAAUACCGCAUAAGCUCGAGAGAGGAAAGCAGCAAUGCGCUGAGAGAGGAGUCCGCGGCCGAUUAGCUAGUUGGCAGGGUAAAAGCCUACCAAGGCAGAGAUCGGUAGCCGGCCUGAGAGGGCACACGGCCACACUGGCACUGAAACACGGGCCAGACUCCUACGGGAGGCAGCAGUGGGGAAUCUUGCACAAUGGGGGAAACCCUGAUGCAGCGACGCCGCGUGAGCGAUGAAGCCCUUCGGGGUGUAAAGCUCUUUCGGCAGGGAAGAUAAUGACGGUACCUGCAGAAGCAGCUGCGGCUAACUACGUGCCAGCAGCCGCGGUAAUACGUAGGCAGCGAGCGUUGUUCGGAGUUACUGGGCGUAAAGGGUGUGUAGGCGGUUGUUUAAGUUUGGUGUGAAAUCUCCCGGCUCAACUGGGAGGGUGCGCCGAAUACUGAAUGACUUCGAGUGCGGGAGAGGUGAGUGGAAUUCCUGGUGUAGCGGUGAAAUGCGUAGAUAUCAGGAGGAACACCGGUGGUGUAGACGGCUCACUGGACCGUAACUGACGCUGAGACACGAAAGCGUGGGUAGCAAACAGGAUUAGAUACCCUGGUAGUCCACGCCCUAAACGAUGCAUAUUUGGUGUGGGCAGUUCAUUCUGUCCGUGCCGGAGCUAACGCGUUAAAUAUGCCGCCUGGGGAGUACAGUCGCAAGGCUGAAACUCAAAGGAAUUGACGGGGGCCCGCACAAGCGGUGGA